GUGCAUUUAAGUCAGUUGCUCGCCAUCGUCAUUCCCCUCACGUGUGAGCACAGCUUUGCAGACCACGAGCCCCGCGGUAGACGGUCUUUAUCACAUCGUGGCCCCAGGCUUCUGCGUUCCAGCACCUGUGUGACUCUGCCCAGUCUGCAUCGCCACAGGGAUCGAUAUAUGAAGAAAUAGUUAACACGGUAACUGUCUGAUCCUUGUUAUGGAUUUUUUAGCCAUUUGAGGCUCUGGGGGCUUCCUCGCUUUGAGUCAGUACUUACUAAAUUUAGCUUUUCUAGUUUUGGGUAUUAUGCUUAUAAAGAAUUGAGGUGGGUGUUAAAAUUAUCAUUUGGGAAAAUUCUCCUAUUGCCUGUUUUUCUAGUUCAGAUUGCAGUCCUGUCCUGUGGUCCUGACAGCUCUUGAACAUGCACACAUGUGUGUUUGCUGCAUUAAAGUCACACAAAAUUCUUUCACUGAUGACAAUGGACAGCCUUAUUUUAUAGGUUGCUUGUACUUGAAAAGCCCACCCCUCCCCAUAUUUAUAAUUUAUUACUUUGAAUGAAAUGGGUUCAUCAUUGUGCUUUUUUGCCUGAAUCACAUCCCAACUGGACUACAUAGACCAUCAUGUGAAGAAGUAGAAAAUAACUUGUUUACACUAAAAACAAACCUGCCAAUAUAUUUUAGCUGAACAGUGUACUAUAAAUAGUAAGCUAUUUGCUAACAGUUUCCAUUUUAAACUUAGAAUUGCUGCUGAUGGAUACUAACUUGGCACUAUUCCUGGGAGCUUUGCUUCAGCCAUUUAGUUGUUAGAUAGCAGUUAAAAUAUAUAGGACCUUCACAUUCGGAGAAACUACUGUCGAUGGGGCAAAGGAUAAACUUGUCUGCAAUAUGAAUCCACAAGUAUUUUUAAAAUGAAUGAAAAUUUGCAUUGAUUCUUUGCCAUUAAUCAAGGUAAGAGAGUCUCUUUCAACAUUUCUGUGUUACUUACAAAUCAAAGAUAAACUUACAGAAAAGUAAUACACUAAUGCUUUUGGACGAUCAUGAUUUCUUUCUUUAUACUUUUCUUGUCUGGUGCGUCAUCAGAUUACAGAUGUGGAUAUAUUCUCUGGUUCUUCCUCUCGUUUCAAUCAGAAUUUAGCCAGGGUUCCUCGCUGAAGAUCAUGUUCACAGGAAUUUCUGUUUCUUUUUCCUCAGCACUGGGGGUUAAACCCAAGGGUGCCUACCACUGAGCUACAUCCCUCGCCCUUUUUAAAAGCCUUAUUGAGACAGGGUCUCACUGUGUUCUCGGGCUGGCCUUGAACUUUCGAUCUUCCUGCUGAGCUCAGACUUCCAUGUCACCAGGAUCACAGGUGUGUACUGUAAUGCCCAGAGAAAUCUCCCAGUUUUUAAAACCACAGACUAAUAGGUGAAAGGGCUCAGUUAUUUUUUCAUUACAGCAGCUUUUCUGGUGUUGAUGGUAGGUAAAAAUAAUAAGAUUUUUGUUUGUUUGUUUGUUUUGGUACCGGGGAAUCAGCUCGGGUCCUUGUGCUUGUGCAGCAGGUGACGAAUCCACUGAGCUAAAUCCCUGGCCAAUAAAUAAGACUUUUUAAAACUUCAUUUGGCAAAGUCUGCUGAGAACUAGAAAGAUGGUUUGUUUUUUAAAUAAAUGUUUUGACAUAGAUGUAGUUGAAAGGGAAUGGAAAAUCAUUUCACAGUUGAUAGAUAUCAGAACAAACUUUCAGCUCAUGACUGGAGUUGAAGUAUGUCAUCUAUACACUAGUUUUAUGUUGCAUACUAUAAAUAUGCAAUGAAAUACAGGACAGCUUUGUUCACAUUUGAAUCAUUAGAGAAGCUUUGGACAAAACCCCGGGCCUCUUGACGACGUAAUCUGUGGGACUGAAACUUAGGCAGGCAUCUGUGUUCGGGAGCCCUAAGGUGAUUCUAAUGCUCGCCUCGGCUGCAGAGUUCCCAGUAAAUGCUUUGGCAGUUGACACACGGGAACGUGCACAGUAUCACACACAUGUGCAGAUAUGCAGGUGCACAAAGUUACAGACACAGAGAGCAAACUGCCAUUCUUUAUGUUGCAUUGUGAAUUUUACUCUAAUAGUGACAUUUAUUAUCAGAAGGGUAACAUUCAAUGAGCUGAGGACCCGAGUUCUCAGGGCCCUUACGGAGCGAUCCCCUGACUUCCCCCAAUACUCACACGGGUGUGUUUUCUCCAUUUUAACGGUCAGCAGCCGAGGCACAGUGAUGCCAAGUCCCUUCUCCAGAGCCACAGCACUGGUAAGUUAUGGAGCCAGACUUUGAAAAUGAGCCCUGGAUUUCAGGUUCUCAGCUGCUUGUCGUUUGCUGCACUGCCUUUAGUAGCUCUUCCUGGGUACUCUGUGGUUUUAAGGGGGAAAAAAAUGCAUGCUGCUUAGCACUGCUUUGGAAAUAAAGAUAAGGUCAUCAGAAAUUUCUGUCACUGUUUCAGUCUGACUUGGUACAAGAAAUCUAAUUUGCUAAAAUCGUUCUAUGUUUUAAUAGUUUUUAAAAUUAAAUGCAUCCUGGGUUAAAAGAGAAAGUUCGACUAAUGUGCAGAAAUCUCAGCGAUUACCUGGAAGUUUCUAAGCAGUAAGGAGCCUACCUCCUCCGCCUCCCCCCCCCUUUUUUUUUAAAGUAAUGUAGGCUAAAGAUCAAAUCUUUUUGCCCUGGGGGCUCUUGGUUCUCUGAUUUCAGCACCACGCUUGGCCGAGGACCAAGCUGGGCGGCCGGCAGAGGGCAGCCGCGUCCCGCGACUGGGCUCCUCUCCCGGGGCGCUGUGUGAACCGGGGUCUUUCUCCUGGUGUCCCUUACUGGUCCUGAAAGGCCAUCGGUGCCUUUAUCUGAAUGAGGACUGGAUCGAUCUCGUCGGGGAACCCGAGCCCGGGCCGGGGGCUCUGUUGCAUAGGCGCCGGGCCUGCGCGGGCCUGCAGGGCUUGUGCGGACUCCGGAGGCGACGACCCAGGACUUUCUGCAACACUUCCUGUAGAUCUGCUUCACAGACCGCCACCAGCGAAGGCCGGCUGGGCCUGGCGCUCUCCGCCUAAUACACCAUGUAAUGCGGCGCAGAUGGAGAGUUGUCUUUCGCCAAAUCAUUCCCCCGAGAGGCUGGUGGGCCCCCGGCUGUCUGCUGCACGGAGCGAGGCCCGGGUCCGGGUGCCCUGCUUCGCAAGGCCUCGUGAGCCAUAGUUAGCAGAGAAAACAGUGGUGCUGCCCCUUCCCUCCACACCCAUUUGAGCAUCCUGGCUGCUCUUUGCCUUACGUGGAAUUACACGGAACUAUUCAGACGGCUGUAAUCCAGACAGCUGCCUAGAUGAACAUGCGUUUUUGGAUUGAGGUUUCCAGUCAGAAGUUCUAGCAGAGCCAGAGCCCUGUGUCUGCAGGCCCCAGACCCUGGGGAUGUUCCCGGCGCUGUCUGAGCUGAAAGACACGGAGAAAUGCUCUGUGACGCUGACGCUCUCAGGUCUCUGUGAGUGCUACUCGGAUAACCUGGGGCACAACUGCUCUACACGCUCUUUGCUGAGGUGGUUUUUUUUUUAAUCAUUGGGCCAGAAUCCGAGGAAAUACGUUUUCGGAAACAGGACACCUUGUUCAGAAGUUGACAGGUGCAAGCACAUAUUUGUGUUCCUGAGAGCAAGUGAGGAGGGAGAUGGGCUGGAAGCUCGCAUUUGUGGAAGCUCCUUUCCUCUCUAGCUGGUCUCGGGGGGGGAAGGUGAUGAAGGCCGACCCGGCGUUAGCUGUGAUUGUCCUGGGUGAAGCAGUGUGAAGCAAGGAGGCAUCGUGGGCACCGUGGGUGCCUUCACACUGGCCAAGCAAGGGCAGGAGAGCUGCUUGCUGUUGAUUCGUGGGGGUUUCUUUAUACUCCAUCACCAGGAAAUCAGUGACACUUAUCCAAGGCCUUCUAGUAAGGUAGUUCAUGGAAUAAGUCUGUUUUAUGGACAAGCUGCCAUCCAAUCACUAUUUGACAGUUUAAAACAAAGGAGACUAUCAAGAUAGUCAGUUUUGUUCAGUGAAUAAAAGAAAGUUGUCCUCACGCUAUUUCUACAGAGUCCAGGCAGCUCUGGAGCUGAGGUAGUAUCAGCGGUCCACAGGAAGUUGGAUUUAGUGCUAAGAAUCAAACUUCUGUAGGCUACUUUUUAGAUCCACAAGAUAUCAUUCCCAAUUUUAAUUAAAUAUCAGAAACUUAAAAUCUAUUAACUAAUUCUUUAAUUCAAGAAAUAUUCCAGUGCUUACUUUAUGUAGGUGAUGUACCAAUGAACAAGGAAGAUGUGGCCUCAUGCCCAAGGAUUCAGAUUUUUCCAGGGGUCAGAAAGCUUAAACAACUAACUACACUGUCAUUAAAAGUUAUAAACAAGUAAGUACAAAAUGGUUUUUAAAGUAUACCAUGCUAUUUGUGCUAAAGAAGUAUAAAAGUCAUGACGAUAUUCAGAGUCUCACACAAUCUGGGAUUUCAAAGAAGAGCUCUUUAAAGUUAAUUUAAAUUUCUUUAUCUAAAAUAAGAUUUUGACAUACACAUUAUCUAUUUACACUGAUGGAUGUGGGCUUUUUAUUUAGACAGAAUGUCUAUAGAAUAACUGAAGGAGAAAAAUAUGCAAGAACUAAGAAAAAAAUUGGUAACUUCUGCUUUGAACAAAUAUAGAUAGAUCAGAUCAGUGCUAUAACCUCUCCCCAAAUCUCUUACAUGUGAGAAGUCAUAUAUCCAUUUAGAUGGGAGAAAUUAUAUUUGUCUUUUAGAAAUGUAUUUAACUAUCAUUUAAAUAAACUAAAAUUGGUUUUUAUGUUACUUUGGAAGAUGAUCCACAACAGAACCAUACAAGUUGAGUAAGUUUUCCUGGAAAUGAACAGGCUAAAAGUUGGGAUGAUUUCCUAAGGAAAAACAUGUUGGGUAUGGAGGAACAAAAAUCUACAGAAAAAACAUUAUAGAAAAACAAGUCAGAAAGAUAUGUGAUGCUCUAUGUAUUGCUUUGUCUGUUCUUGUGAAAGGUAAAUGAGACCUUUACAACAUAAACACUAGCUCAGAGUUUGAGGGAGACAAAAAGCCAUUCAUACUUUUUUGAUUACAUUCUUAUACCUUUCCAAAUAUAAAGGAUUAGUGAAUGAGGAUAGAAUUUGAUUUUAAUAAUGGAAGUUUUUAAAGACUUUCUGGAAAUGUCUGAGAACUGGAGAAAGAGAGAGAGAGAGAGAGAGAGAGAGAGAGAGAGAGAGAGAGAGAGAAUGAGAGCUUGUUCUUAAUUUUAUUUUGUGUUUAGUUCCAAGAAAUCACUUCAAAGAAAUCUUCUAAGAAAUCGUUUGCAAUCUCCCUGAUGUAUAGUAUAUAAAGAUGUUUGGAGCAAAUAGUUAAAUUCGAGAAUGUUUUACGCUCCUUAAUAGUGAUGGAUGUUUUCCUUGAUACUUCACCCUUGGCUGCUCUUCAAACAUAGUGCUACUGAUGAUGUUUAAUGAACUAGCUUUAUUUGUUGUGGUGAAAUAAGAAAAGAUUUGCUAAAUCUUUGAACUCAUAAAACAUUAUUAAUAUUAUGAAAAGGACAGUGACCACCUGCCCUCUGUCUCCGUUGAAGCAGAACAUGAGGAAAUACACUGCAGUAUGAGGCAGUUAUGUUAGAAUAACUGAGAAAUUUCCUGGCAGGGGCGUUAAGCAUUGCAAUGAAUCAGGAAGAAGGUUGUGAACUCUUCUUAGAGUCUGAUUCCCUUAUUAAAUAGCAUGAUCUAUCUUCGGUGUUGCUAGUCUCACCUGUAAGCUGGUAAACCUCUCAAGCUUUAGCUGUCUCCAGUAUUUCAUGAAGAUGUUCGUGUCAGAGGGAGGACCAGGAAAAGCUAACAAAAUCAAACAAUAGCCGAGAUUCGGUGAGUGUUUGUUCUGUGCUAGGCUCUGUAUGAAGAACUUUAUAAGCACUCUCCCAUUUGAACAUGGCAAUGGCCCAGGUAUUUCAGCCCCUAUGGGUUCUGUGAACAGACGCUGACUGCUACACACCAGCAGAUUUGUUUCUUAAAAUUACCAUCAACUCAAAAAUGUAUGAUGAAGGUUUAUAGACAAAUCAUCAUUGGUGAUGCUAUCCUCAUUUUGAGAAGGAGUUCUCUAGCCUGGAAAGGACUGGGUCAGGUCUCUUUGGAGGUACAAAGGUAACAGAGCACCUGGCUCUUGAGAUACUCAUGUGUCAGAGGCUUCGUGUUGUUUUUGAUGAUGUCACUAUGGGUGCUCCAAAGUUCAGAUUUCAACUUGAAAAAUUCAGUGAGCUGAAGAUCACAUUUCCCCUCCCAGAGGCAGAACACACUUCUGCAAAAGAAUAACUUAUGUUCUUGAUAGCACUUGACCUUGAAAGCUCAAAUACCUAUGUCCUUCCCACUGUUCUUUCUUCUUCUGAAACAAACCUUCACCCCAGGUUUUCGUAGUGGCUAAGUCUGAGGUCUGGCCUGACUUUGCCAGAUUUUUGUGAUGAGUCUUACUUUUGCACUUACUCCUUGUGCUUUUUACAUUGUAAUCUUAGCAACAGGGACAGGCCUUGAUUUAACAGCCUCAUGGUAAGUCUGCCCAGAGGUUUUGCCAAUGGAAAUGUAGAAAGUCCAGUGGCAAGAAAUAGUUAUGAAAACAUGCACAGUGGCGAAUACUUCGCUAGAACCCCCUGAGUUCAGGAAACUAAACAUUUUCCUCUGUUGAUAGAGCUUCCCGACUGCAUUCCUUUCCUCUAGCUCUGUCUGCCGUUUCCAGGAGGUCUAAUCUAAAUUACGUGAAUAUCAGAUGCCCCCAAGGGCCGAGUACAGAACAAGAGCUGCAGGAGUCACAGCUCUAAUGGGGGCCAUCGAGUCACCACCAUGCAACCCACACAGACUUCAAGACUGAAACAGUUUUCUUGAUGACUUUAAAGUUGUUUCAAAUAAGUUUUUCCCACUUUCUUUCUCUUUCUCCCUUUCCCUUUCUCUUUCUUUCUUUCUCCUCCCCCCUUCCCUCCUCUUUCUUUCCCUUCCCUUCUCUUCAUUUUUUCCCCUCCUCCUUCUUCUUUCCCUCUCCUCUCCCUCCUCCAUUUUAAAGAAAAGCCUCAAUAAAAAAAACAACACAGCAGUAUCUAUAAGGUCAGAUAUUUUCAUGGCUUGGGUAGCUCUCAGAAUAUAAAUUAUGCACCUUGAAAACAAGGAGUAAAUAACUUACUAAUUUUAUCAUUGCCUUCUAGGCUUUGUUUACAUUUAUUUACAUAUUUAUUUAUUUUUAGAAUUUUGCCAUUUCGUCCACGUAGGCCAGUGGCCUUUAAUCUCUUCGGCGCACAGGUGAGCAGGGUAACACGGUGGACACCUGUUUGCUCUCUAAAGUUAGGUAGUCCUGACUGUUAACAGUGCGAAUAGAUUUUCUUAAUAGUUGAGGGGUGCAGCAGAUUACAAAAUGCUUCCUUCAGAACAGCAGGAUGUGAUGCAGAGUAUUCACGUGGUGAAUUAUGAAUGUUCCUAUAAGUUUGAUCAAGUGAUGGGAUCUCCAGCGAUCAAGAGAGGAAUCACUUCCAUCACAGAAAAGACUUUGGAGUCAUUCAACUCUUUACUGAUGAGUGAAACCCUCACAGGCUGUUUUCCCAAAGCAGCAGAAACAUCGAGGAGCAAACACAGAUCCUCUGUAAAAGAAGCGGCAAUCAAUCUAUUGAUUCAUAAUGGAGAUUGAAUGGUGAAGAAUUUUAUACUUUACAUAUUUAAAACAUUUUAACGUUUUUACAAAAAAGACAAAAUGAAGCAAAUUAGCUACAAAUUAUUUUGUUUAUUUAUCUAUAAUUAUGUUUUUUGGUUUAUUUUACUUUUGAAAUUAAUUUUUUGCCAAACUUUUUACUUUGAAAUAACUUUAUAGAAAAUUUGCAAAGAUAGCGCAGAAGGUCCUCAUAUAUUUAUUGUCCAGUUCCACUGUUUUUACUAUUGUGUUUAUCAUGUACAUUUUUCAUAACUAAGAAAUCAACGUUGGUGUGUUACCAAACUCUACUAACCAAACUCCAUAUUUCUUUCAAAUUUAACUAGUUUUCCUAUGAAUCCCUUUUUUCUACUCUAGAAUUCAGAGUUGAAGUAGAAAGUGCACUUUGUUAUGUCUCUUUGGUGUUCCGUGGUCUGUGGCAUCUUUUUCAUGACUUUCAUAGUUUCAGGUACUGGUCAGGGAUUUUUGUACAACAUUCCUCAUUCUGGCUCUGUCUGUUAUUUUCUCACGAGUAGACUAGAGUUAGGGCUGUUGGGUAAGAAGACCACAGAGGCAAAGUGCUCUUAUAUCACAUCAUAUCAGGGGUACAUGCUGUAAACAGGACUUACCACUAUUGUUGAAGAACAAAAUGUCAAUAAUUAUGUCAAUACCUUCAAAGAUCGAAUUGGCUUUUAUUACUGAUUCUUGUGCUGAGAAAUAUCCAGUCUCCAAACAACCUCCAAUGAGCCAGAGAGAGUGGACAAGUUGUAGAGGCAGCAAAAAGCAGAGGAAAUCAAAAACACUGAUCAGGUAGUGAAUCGGUUCUUUCACCAUUAUUGUCCCUGAAGGAGUGCAAAUGAAGUCUUGUUGGCCACCAUCUGUCAUCUGAUUUUCAUAAAGUCAAAUCUCUUCUACUCUUGGAGGUCAUAUCUUUUUUGUAUUCAAUUCCUGCUAAGUUUAUUGUUUUUCUCUCAGUUUUUAUUUUUAAUUAGUACAUGUUUCCAAUACACAGUGAUCAUAUUCCUUACAGGAAGUUGGCACAUGCACAUGACACAUCUCAAUCCAUUUUCAACCCCUUCCCAUUCUCUUUUCUCCUUCCUUCCAUCUCUCAAUCCUCUUCCCUUAUAAGAAAGAUCUAUUUCCAUAGUUCUCAUUAUCUAUCCUUUAUUUGCUCUUCAUUUAAAUUUUGGCUUUCUUAUAAGAGAAACCAUGUGAUAUUUAAGCUUGUGUGUCUGAUUCAUUUCACUUAACAUUAUGGUCUCAAGGUGCAUCCACUUUCCUACAAAUGGCUCAAGUUUAUUCUUUAUGGAAGGUCAGAUCUUGCAAGCAAACAACCUAAGUUUCAUGGUGAUGUGGAAUCUUAGCAUGAGUUACAGUAUUUUGGCCUGCUGCUUUUUCUUUAAACAUUUGUCACUGUUUAAAAUUAUCAGCAUUUCAAAGGUACUCUCUCUCCCCUUUAAUAUUCUAUGGAAGCAAGUCCAGCCCAGCUUUAAGAUUUAAUACUGUCUCACAAUUAUUCAUUCAGAUGACCAGUAGAACUGAAGACAUAAGACACAGUGCUUUGAGUUUCUUAGAGAAAAGGUAUAAAUAAAUGUAAAUGGAACCAUGGAUCUCCUGAUCUUCACUGAGUCGCUUUCUCAUGUUGGAAUAUGACAUUCAGAGCAGGCAAAAGUAAUCAGUAUUUUCUGUCUAUCACUUAGGAUGAAAGAAAGCUGAAGAGAUGUAGGCCAAUUAUACGCUGUCAUGACAAUGGGCCUUCAUCCAAAUCCCCAGGAAGGCAUCACAGGAGAUCUUCAGAUGGCAACACAAUGCACUCCACCAUCACACUCCCAUGCCCAGAUCUUAGCACCAUUUUACAAUCUAUUUACUGUGAUCUUUGAAGAGAUAAAAUCCACUUGCCCAAUCAACAUGAUCUUUGACCUGAACCCAACAACUAUAUUUUUUUAUCCACUAUUAUUUAUGGAAUACCUAUUAUGUGCCAGAACUUUUCAUAUUUUUCUACUUUAUCUUUCAGACAUGAUUUCAUAAAAUACUUUCAUUUUUAUAAGGAAAUUGAAAGAGGUCAAGUAGUUUGGCCAUACCAGCAGAAGUUGCAUUUGGGAUUUAAAAUAAAUUUAUUCUAUUCCAAAGUGCAUAUAUGUGAAAUAAAUAAUUUUUCAAAAAUUUGUCAUAUGAGGAAAAAUCUAAUAUUGUGGAUUCUUGCUAGGUUAACAACAUCAUUAAGAUUUUUCUGUAGUAAGUAAGACUAAUAGCUCUUUUAUUUUUAGACAGUAAUUUUGCAGUCAUGGUAUCCCCAUAAUUUCUAAUAUUAUUUCUCCUGAAUUCACUAGGUAGAUAGAAAUUCAUUACAGUAAAAAGCAUUUAGCUGCAGGUGUACUGGAAGCAAUCAUUCCAUUUUCCUCACACUGCACACGUGCUGCUAAUUUUGUUUUUGUAUUGACAGUCAACAUGAAAAAUGUUUAAUAGUCAAGGUAACAGGGAAAAUCAAAUCAAAGUUCCUCUUGAAUAUUACUUGAGAGAAGUUAAUAUUUUCAGGAUCCAGUUCUUAAUGCUUAAAGACACUAAAAAUAUUAAAAGUCAUGGAGUAUGGAAAAAUCCAUAAAUUCUUGUGAAGCCUCGUAAAAUUAUUUUCCUGGUAGGUGAACAAAGGGCUGAACGAUGCCCAGAUAUACAGGUGAGAAGUCCAUCCCAUUUGUUCAUCUGGAGAACCCUUCCUAGUUGAAUAUGCACGGUAAUAAUUGGUCACUUCUCCAUCACUGUGCUUCUUCCAGAAGCUAUGAGGUGGGUUUUUUGGUUUUGUUUUGGUUUUUGGGUGUGUAGCUACGGGAAAUGGUUACACGGAGCUACACAUUAUUCAGGUUAAUCAUGAGAGCACAGAACAAUUUGCCAUUCCAGUCUCUUGAUGGCCCAGAUUUGAAGUGUCUGCAACUCUGUCCUAACAGCCGCUGGCAUUGUGUAUAAGAGGCCAUCUGGCAAAACUUAAAGUAGGUGACAGUUUUUCCUCCCAUUCUUUUCUCUACCACGUGUGUUACAGUUUCUUUCUUCACUCAGAGCACUUUCUAUUAAUAUGCAGGCCCUCUUGUCAAAGGGAGAAAAUCUGGUCUUUAAAACCUUGCUGUAAGUUAGUUACUCAUCUACCUUUCCCUGAGGUCUGCAUUUUAAGAUAGAAACCCGUAAUGGAACCUGAAUUAACAGCCUUCUGUGGCCGGGACCCGGAGGAUCCAGUCGAAGGCAGAAGACCUGGAGCUCCCUGCAGGGUCCAGUGUGAGUCUAUGUCGGGAAGCAAAGAGUCUGCCCUGGGAGAUGGAAGGAACCGGAGAUGAAUGUCCACAGGCAGGGACAAAGCCCGCAGCUUCUUUGGAGAAGAAAAGAGCAGACUCCCUUCUUUUCCUUUUUAUUCUGUCCAGGCUACAAGUCUAUUGGUUGGUGCCACCCACAUCCGGGGCGGGUCUUCCCUCCUCAGUUUGUGGCCUACCUGUCAAUCAUCCAGAGACACGCGCAGGGCUUUACUGAUUUGCUAGGUGGCUCUUACUCAAGUGAAAGUGCCAUAUCCCAAUUAACGAUUACAUCUAAUAAUGUUCAGAUAAAACGUAUUUUGUGCAAUUGGACUGAUAAAACAUGCAAAAUAUAGCUAUGAGGUCUGCUUGAGAUUCAUAUUUAGUCACAAGAAGCAAGAAUAAUUUCUUCAUUCAAUAAUACUUAGAGAACACUGACUAUGAUGCAAGAAUUUCAGGCACUAGGAGUAUCAUAGUGAUCAAAAUCAAAGGUCUCUGCUGUCCUGGAGCACAUGCUCUACAGGGAAAAUGAACAGUGAGGAUGCACAAGGCUAGAAGAACAAGCUAAAUGGCACCUGCCCAGACAAGGCCUUCAGAGGGACUUUCCAUGGGUUCGCAGCAGUUAAAUGCAGAAGUACAAACUGGGGGGCUGAAUCCACUCUGGGUUAAAAGAGCCUUACCACCAAAUAUGGAUUUUAUAGCAGGAAAAUGUAAUGCAUAGGUCUGGUCUGAAUUCUGAUUCAAAAAAUAUGCAUUCAAGAGACAAUAUCAGGGGAUCGUUGACAUCUGUUCUGUAGUAAUUGUAGUGUGAUUAGGGACAAAAAAACCCCUUAUAUACUGCUUAGAGCUGAACUCUGAAUUAUGUAAGAUAGACAUUAUAUACUGUCUGGAAAGAAAAAGAAAAAAUGUAAAAUUCUUGUGGAAAAAUCUGAUAAUUAUUUAAUUUGGUUGAUGAGUAUAUAGGUGUUCAUUGAACUAUUGUCUUUUCUUUGCAAACUAAUAUUUUAUAAUACAAAUUAAAAAUCAAAAUGACAAUGAAAAUGUGUUAUUGUGCAUAUUUAUCAUGUGCACAAUGUGCAGAGCAAAAGAAGGAAUGGAGACAAUGGGUUUGUUUUCUAAGCUCCCAAUUUAUCAACCUCACUUUGAUAUUCUUUCUGGUAUCUUUAAACUGAGCCGGUGGCUAUUUUAUCAAGCUGAAUCUCUAAGGAAUAUGCUAUUCACAGAUCACCUUUGGAAGAUUUUACGUUUGAAUAUAUUCUUUGUUAGAUUAACAAAUAGUUUCUGGAAGGACUCAGUGAAGAUAAUGAAAAAAUCUAUAGAAGAAAGAUGAUAUGACAGAAAAACCCAAGUGGAGGAAAAUCUCAGGGAAUGAGGUAAGUCAGAGAUGCUAACACCUUUCACAUGGAGGCAUUUCAAUAUCUAUAUCUGUAUAUCUAGGCCCUCUCCAAACUCUUUUCCCUGAGCAGUCUGCAUCAUAAAAUUAGUAUAUGCUAAUAUUUGUAUUCAUAAAUAUUUAUAAAUGUCCACAUGUAUUUGGAUGCAUUGAGAUUUAUAAGUAUUCUCAUGUAUUUAGAUGCAUUUCACCCCAGGAAGAAUACAUAACUGACCUUAAAAUAUUGUUUGUUGCAUUUCAUUUAUGCUUAAAAAUGGCACACUGAAAUUCACAAAUUUAAUAGAAAUUACAGUCUGUUUCCAGAAACGGUGAUGAGUAAGAACUCACCCUAGGGCUGGGCAAGUUCUUCUUGGGCAUUUCUCAUAUUAGAGAGGAGAUCAGAGUCUGAUCACUGUCAUGAAUUCAUUAAAUACAUAUUCACUGUGAUUCGGGAACGAGCACUGAGAUACUGCCAAACACGGUAGACAGUCCCUGAUGUAACGAAACUAUAAUAGCAGGAAGUGUAGGUGCUAAGUCACUUCAGCUGUGAGGAGCACCGGACAGGCAGAGGGCAGGGUGGGAGAGAAUGGACCCUAAGUACACAGCACUGGUCGAUGGUCGAGGAGACGCCCUAGUGAAGGAGCGUUAAAGCUGUGAGGGCGGGGUGGGUAGAAAUGAGCCCUACAGGGUGGGUGAGUGAGAGAACCGGAAGUAGGCAGAAAUCAGUGCCGCACAGUUCUGACGCACAGUUCUUUUUUUUUUUUUUGGGUACCGGGAAUCGAACUCGGGUCCUUGUCCUUGCGCAGCAGGCGGUGAAACCACUGAGCUAAACCCACGGUCCUAGAGGCACAGUUCUGAAGGAGAGAGAGCAGGAACCCCACAGAGCAACAGAAAUCGAUCGUGGAGAGGUGGACAGAGCCCUGAUCCUUUGUUGCGUUUAUUGUCCAUAUUUAGAUGCAUUUUACCUCAUCCUGGGUGAAACGGGAGGCCGAGAUAAUGCCCUCGUGGAGAGCAGACACAAUGAAGUUGUCGUUGUUGAUUUAAAUUCCCUUGCACGGUGAAAAGUGUGUGGAAUUGGAAGAGAGGCGACCAGUCAUGAAGACACUGCUGACGAGAGGGCCGUCAGCUCGCACGGGGAUGGUGGCAGUGGCGAUGGAGAGACGCGGGUGGAUCAGGAGCAUGGACAGGAGUUGCGAGGUCCAGCGAUCGCCUAGGGCCUAUUCCCUCAGAACCUCCCCCGUUGGCCAUGCCCUGCGGAAGAGCUCAAGAAUCACACUCCUUCCUGGGCCUCAGAGAAGGAAGAUGGCUUUUAGGGAACAGGUGUCUGCCCACCCUAGGGCAGCAGGCAAAUCAUUCAACAGCUUUUGCUCCCAGCCCUGGGCGUCCUUAAGGUGGCUCCAAAUGGGUCCCAACCACCUUUUAGGCAUCAUCGAAUCAACGCCGGAGAAACAUUUUGACGAUUUUGUUGCUUGAUGUCCGUCUAAAUGGCGCACGUGCUCCUGACUCUGCAGAGGAGAUGCUGGACCCUGGGCCCGCCUGAUCCCAUGGGAACUGAGUGAGCCACAGGCCAGUUUCCUAGGCACUGACUGCACCAAGGGAUUUGGUGGUCUACAAAAUAUCGUAAUUUUGCCAGCCCUUGAGAAAACUGGAAUGCGUUUUAUCCCUCUUCUCUGGACAGCACUCCUUCUGAGACGUCUGUCCACCACGCAGGCACAACUCCCUGUUCAUUUACUCAGGAAUCAAAGAGCAAAGAAAAGAGUAAUAUCAUUGCUUGUGAUGAAUCCAGGUUGCAGAAUGCUGUCAGUUCUGGACACGUGUGCAUAUGAGCUCUCGUAUCCUGGAGUAACUCCCACAGCAGCACUGCCAUGGUGCUCCUCCUACACUGAGCAUUACUUGUAAAGUGCAAGCGCUUGGGAAGAACUGUGACAUGUGAUGAAUCUGGUCAGCGUCAGCGCACUCCUACCGCUGCCUGGCCGCCCUUGUUCAGACACAGGCAGAGAGUAGACAACAGGCAGACAUGCUAAUGCGCAUUCUGCGGUGACCAUCAAGAAGGCAGAGAUAAGGCUCACCACAGGGGACAGUGAAGAAAACUUCGAGUAAUGAUGACAGUAUAUGAGGUGGGAUCAAACUAGCAGAUGUUUACAUUGUUUUAAAAAAUUAGUGCAAUAAAAGAUACAUUGCCAUUAACCCUCCUCAAAAUAUCCUCGCCUCCACUUCAAACACUCUUGGCCCUCUGCUCUUGCCACUUUCUGAGGCAGUUCUGGAAGUCCUCUUCCAUCCGUGUCAGUAGUUGUACUACUGUGACUGCCUCGAUGUCCUGAAUCAGUUCAAAACAUGUACUAUUCAUGGUCAUUUUGACCUUUGGAGAAAAGCCAGAAGUCACACAGUGCCUGAUCCAGUGAGUAAGGGGCCGAGGACACAGCACUGUGUUUACAGACCCGUGUUUCUGUCGGAUGCACUUGGCAGCAACAUUCACCACUUUUUGAUCAAACUUCCUCAAGACCCUCAUGAAGAGGACUUCCAGAACUGCUUCAGAAAGAUUUGCGGUGAUAACGGCUGAGAACUUUCCAUCCUCAUACAAGCUGGGUCUCAAAUUCCUAAGGAAACUCCUGCAGAGCCGCGCUGUUUGCUUUUGAAAGAUCAUAUCCUGACUUGCCUAUGGAGCCUUUGGUCGGAGGUGGGAUAAUUUUUGCAGCUGGGGGGAACCUAUACCUUGCUGGGGAAAAUCAGCAUGAAACAAUUAAUCACUCAUCCAAAAAUAAGAAUCCUAACCGAAGGGUGUUCACCGAUGAAAGAGCAAAGAAAACAUGUGCAGAGACAGUCUUCCUUCUGAUAGGCAGUGAUUUUUAAAGCAAAUUCUUCAUGUUUGGGAGUUGCUUCUUUCUUUGCUUUUUAUUAAACAGAGUUUUGUUUUCCUGAGUAAAAAAGAAUCUUAUUUUCAAAGGGCUGUUAUCCUGCUGCUUGCUCCCCAUAUGAAAUUAUCUUGCAGAGUAACAGGGCCUGGUGUUCUGGAAAUUGCAUAUGGGAUUUCUUAGUUUAAGAUCAAAGUCCUGUGACUGGAAGUUCACAAGAGUCACUCUUUUUCUUUCUAUUCAUACUUACAUUUUUAUUUUUCAAAACCAAUGCAUCAGAAAUUAUAUAUUUUAUGGAAAAUGAUAUGAUGUUGUGAAAUAUGUACACAUUACGGCAUGGCUGAACCAAGCUACUUAACACAUGCAUCCUCACAUGCUUACUAUGAUUUUGUGGUGAGAACACAUAAAAUCUAUUAUCUCAGUAUGUUUCCCAUCAGUCACUGCCUUGAAAUUGAACAGUUUUCAUAUAUCUUCUAAAUUUAACAUUUCAAAUUUGGCUUUCAUAAAAUAUUUUAGUUAUUAUGUUAGUACUUAACUGAGGAAUAGCUCAAACUUGGUACAUUCAUUUGUACAUUCUGAAUUAGUGGAAAGAGUUUGGGGUUAUAAAUGGGGAUGUAGAGCCACACCUCCUCCCAAUCAGAGGCAAACUCUGCUGCCAUGACAAAGGAGAAGCCAGCAGCUUCAGGGUGCGUGGUCAGUCUGUAAUGACAUUAGUACUGUCUUCGCAGGGGCCAGCUCACUGGAGUUCUAGCUCUAUUGUUCGCACUGAACUUUUACCUUUCCACAGAGUUAAAUGCAUUGCCAGUGUCCCAGUGUAUUCAGAAUUAAGCUGCCCUUACCUAUUCAGAGUUAGUAAAAAGAGACUUAUAUUUUGUCCUAGUAUUUUAUUUUCUACAUGAUUUCUCUCUCUUGGAAUUUAUUUUGGUAUAUGGUGUGAAGAGAUGAUCUAAAAUGAUGUUUCUCUGAAAUAGUUGCCUCAGUUGUCUCUUCUUUCACAUUUGAUUUUAUUUCUUUGUAAUAUAUAACAUUAUUAAAAUUAAUAUAAUUUCAAACAAAUAUUUCUGACAUUUCUUGUAUAUAUCCUACUUUAUCGAUGUGUCUGUUUUUGCAUCAACAGUAUGUCUUAAUUAAAGUGCCUUAUGGUAUGUUUUAAUAUAAAGUUGGGCUACUUCCAAAUGAAUGCUCUUUAGUGAGAGAAUUUAUGUAAAACUCCUAUAUCUAUCUACGUGUCCCCAUGUGGAUGCACACAGCAAUUGGGAGAUUUUCUAUGGCACCAUCCUAUCCUGUCUUGGACCUUAGCCUUCAUCCAGAGGAGCACUGUGUGUGCUGUCUCCCACCAAGCCAGGGGUCUGAGCAACUUUAGCAUCUACACUAUUCCAUUAGUGUUACCUCCACACCUACCAGUUAGCACCCAAUCUAGCACUGCCUAUACCUGCUCACUGCAUGCUGCAUUGCUAGUUUUAGAGUCAUGAUUUUUUUUUUUUUUUUGGUACCAGGGAUCGAACUCAGGUCCUUGUACUUGCGGUGCAGGCAGCAGAAACACUGAGCUAAAUCCCCAGCCCUUAGGGUCAUAAUAUUAAAAAAGUUAAUAAUGUCUGAAUUUUUACUUAGGGACCAAAAGUUGAUUGUGUUUUAACCUAUACUCAACUUUCUUUCAGAUAUAAAAUAUUCUUCUCUAAGAAGGAGAAAGGUAUAGUAUUUACUUGAAUUAGUAUCAUGCCUAUGUGGUCCAACUGAGAGGUGAAGAAAACAGGCUGAGGAGGGACUUUCUGAAAUUUAGAUCAGAUAAAAUACUUUAUUUGUACAAAAAGCAAUUAGUAAUAAUUGGACUUUUUAAACUCACAAACAAGACUAAAGACAGCAAAACAUAUGAGAUAAUAAAAAUAUCCAUUAUCCACUCCACAUUAUUUGUAAUAACUUCAAAUGAUAAAAGAUUACAUUAAAAAUCCAAUUUAGGGGCCAGGGAUUUAGCUCAGUGGUUCCACCGCCUGCCUUGCAAGCACAAGGACCCAAGUUCGAUCCCCAGUACUCCCUGCCAAAAUAAAUCCAAUUUAAAAAAUUUUUAUUGCAUAUAAAUUGACAAAUUACAUUUGUGUAUAUGUACUGGGUACAAAGUGAUCCUAAGAUUUAUGGAUAUGAGGAGUCAUUAAAUUAAACUAAUUAAUAUAUCUAUCACCUCAAAUGCCAUAUUUUGGUGGUAACAUUUGAAAUUACUGUUACUGAUUUUGGUAUGACAAAUAAAUUUUAAUUGAUUUAGACACAAUGGCCAUGUGUAUGUUCCCUUUUUAGGUUGGAGUUAUUGGAAAAAAUAAGGCAUACAAUAAAGUUUUGUGAUUUUUUAAUAAAGUUUGGUACUUGGUUUAAGAAAAUGUUUCUCAGUCGUGAAGGUAUAGGAUCAAACCAAAUGUCCAUUAACAGAUGAAUGGAUAAAGAAAAUGUGACUAUAUAUGUGAUAAAAUAUCUCAACCAUACAAAAUAAAAUUUUGCAGCAACAUGGAUGGAAUUGGAGAACAUUAUGUAGGUAAAUAAAUCAAACACAAAAUGACAAAUACUGCAUAUUUUCACUGCAUAUGGAGGCCAGAAGGUUGACCUCAGAGAUACAGAGUUGCAGAGUGGUACCUGGAAUGCAGGCCUGGGAAGGGAGUGGGUAGCUGAAGGAUGGUUCAGGGGUAUAGGGCCGGCUGGAGAGGAGCGAUAACCCAACAUUCUCUAUUGUACAGCAGGACAGCUAUAGUUGACAAUAACUAGUUGUAUACUGUAUUUCAAAAUAGCUAGUAGAAAGGAUUUCGAGCUUUCCCAACACAGAGAAGUGGUGAGUGUUUCACAGGAUGGAGUUGUCAGCUAUCCUGAUCUGAUCAUAAUACCUCACACACGAGCAUUUAAAGAAAUAUGUACAAUUAUUAUGUGUUAAUUAAGAACAAAUAAAAUGAAAUGCUGCAAAGAAGUGUUUUUUGUCUAUGGCAUGCUAGAACAGAAGUAUUAUUUUAGUUCAUGAUAACAAUGAUUUUCCAGAGGAAGAAAUAUGAGAAAAAGUAUAGGGAAGGUCUAUUUGCCUAAGUAUGACACGAUUAAUAUGAUUUCAAAAGACAUUAGGGAUUUUUAUCUAUCUUGUCUUGUUCCAAACAAGGGGAUACAGAGGAAAAAGGAUGAAAAUCCCUCAUAACAAGUCCCACAUAUCGAUCUUGGUUUAACCUUUAAAAGGAAGCAUUCCUAUUUUCAUUAUGAAACUAUAAUAUCUUCCAACUAAGGGAUUCAGAGCAAACGUUCAUUCCCGAGCAUGGCUUUCUGAUUUCCCACGGCCUGUGGCAGGGUGAAGAUGCUCAGGCUGCAGGCUGAGCAUCCAGGAGGGCACAGAGAGGGGUUUCUCAGGCUCACGACGGAUUACCAGAGACCAUGGAUUACCAGAGACCACAUCUUUCCACACAUCCCCAUCACUGAAGAGAUCACUCGGGCUGCGAAUCACUGUAGAAAUGGAGGACGAGGAACAAGCAAGGGGAUGUGGUGCAGAGAUGACUCUGGAGAGCUGAUAACUAAAAAGGCACAAGGCAGAAAGACAGCUUGUGAGAACCCACUGACGCUUCACAGCCGGUCUUAUCUUCUGAGAGCUGGAGAACUCUUGGGUCCUUUCCCAAAGUUCCCUGUUAACUUUCACUGACACUGAGGUUUUCAUGCCACGGACUUAACAUCUUCAAGAUCAAAUAGAAAAUAGUAUUUCAAUCAUAAGGGUGAACUUCAGCAUAACUUGGCAGCUUUCAAGUCUCAGAAGUUAAAUGGGUCUAGGAUUUAUAAACGCCUCAUUACAGAGGAUCAGGGAUUGAAAUCUCUAACUGGUCCUCAGGGCUUCAGGGUGUUACCAUCUAAAGGGCAGUGGCUUUUGUUAAAGCAUGAUUAGCUGCUCCAUCAUUAAAAGUCAUUUUGAUUGUGAAAUGUUCUUGUAUAGAUUUAGAAGAGACAAAACAGGUUAAAAAAACUAUAGCACACUUAGUAUUGACCAAUUAGCAUUAAGUAUUUUUUCAGUUGAAGAGAGUUGAUUCUUAGACAAUAUCAAAAGGAUUUUACUUCACUGCCAUCUUAAUUAAUGACUGCAUUCAAGGAUGUUUUAAAAAUUUGAAUUAUUUAAAAUAUCUUCUUGGCAAUAUUUAAUUUCCUAUCCCAAGAGCCUCUGAGAAAUAUUUUAAAUUUGUGUAACAGUCUGCAAUGACCUUUUAUUUCUUUAAAGGUCCUGGAUUUCAGCUUCCUGCUAAGCGUGUAUCCCUGAGGCACUGACCCUGGCUGGCUCACCUCCUGUUCAGCAUCUGGGCCAAGGCCCUGGGAUUCUGCCACCAUGAGGGACAUCGGAGGCAGUGGCACAUGCUGGCAUUUGGGGACACCAGCCAGAGCAGCUGCUGCUCCGCAUCUCCUGUCAAGGGUAGGCCACAGCAGCCUGGAAAGCCUCAGUCCUCCCUUUUCACACCAUCCCACUGCUUUCUGCAAUUUCUCUGCGGUGACACACACGGUAGCUCAUUUACGUGUGCUGGAAAAGGAUGUAGCAGAUGGCUGAGGCAGCAUCUCUUUGUUGAAUUAUAGUCAAUCUUGAAUAGCAGCUACUAUUACUAUCUUGGAUAUCUAAAGGCCUUUGUUGAAGUGUGGAGCUUAAAUGCUUCAAUAGUUUUUCUGCCGAUGAUUUGAUUCUUUGACUUUUAUAUUCUGAAUUAAAUUUCAGAUAUUUUGUUGAGCCAGUGGCUUGACAAUUAUUUUUCUAAAAGAAAAAGUUAUUUUUCUACAGUUUGGCUUUAGAAAUAUCACACGUGCUUUUACUUUAGGACUUGAUUUAGGGUAUUUGAAAAGUAUAACUUUACAAUAACUAUUACUUAAUAUUACAGAAUUAUGGUUAAGCUUUAUUCUGGAUAUAAGAUUAAAAGGUAAAGAUGAGUGGAUGCACAUUUUGUUCAGGUUUGACAUUUCUCUCUCUCACAGGAAGAGUGAUAAUGUAUAGAGUAGGAGGGUUACAGGGAACUGUACAGAAUGACAAUUCAGGAAGAAGUUGUGUUUCCAAUUAAUGACUGUUAGAUUAAAAGGCCUACUGAGAAAACUUGGGCUGCAUGAUACGACACCAAUGUGCCAAGCCAGUGGAACAGCGUAACGAAAUCCAUAAAACCUGAAUGUUGAAGCAGGCAUUAUCACAGUUGGUAAAAUUGCCAUGGCUGAAAUGAUUAGAAGGAAUUAUGGGCAGUCCAGGGAAAUAAAAUUAAAAUGAAAGGACUAUAAACAUUGUGUGGUUCCAAGUAUAAGCCAAAACAGUAAUCAGGCAAAACUGUAGAACUAUUGAGGGCAAAAAUAAUUUUUUAAAAAUGUGUUUUCCUUAGUACAAUCCCUAGAAUGAUAGAUCUUUUUCCCCCAGAUGAGUGCAGAUUUCCCAAUGGAAACUGUUUACUUGACAAAAUGACACUGUUUAGCACAGGUAGCGUGGAUUUGUGGAGUGGUUGUUAACGUUAGACAGCAUUGGAGUUGUUAUAGUCGAAGUAAUGCGAGAGAUUUUUAUAAUUUGUAUUUCAACAGAACAAGGCUAAGAAAAGAAGUAGAAGAUCGAUGGACCUAAUUUUAAGUUUAGUCAACUUUGAAAAAAGUCUGUUGAAUAUUAAAAAACCCUAAAAACAUUAAAAAUAGAAAUUUCAUUUGAUCCAGCUAAUUCCUUCUAGAUAUCUUCCCAAAAGAGUUUAACGUCACCAUAUUAUAGGGAUACAUGCAUAUCCAUGUUCAUAGCAGAGCAUUUCUAAGAGAGAGAUCUUGGAAAUGGUGUAUACGUCCAUCAGCAGAUGGACGGAGAAAGAUGUGGUAUUUAUACCCAACAGGGUACUGUACUACUCUGCCAUAAAGAAAGAUAAACUUGAAGCAUUCGUAGGCAAAUGGAUGCAUCUUGAGAACAUAAUGUUAAGUGAAAUGAAUCAGACACACAAAAUUUAUGAUUUUGAAAGCAUGUUUGACUUAAAGCUGUGUUUGCAGCAUACAGACAUCCCUCGUUUAGCAACUGAGUUGCAUUGUGUGCAUUACAGUAUUCAAGAAAACGGUCAAAGAAAUAGCCAACAGGAUGACUUUGCUUUUAUUUGCAUAACUCUUACAUGCAGCACUGUAAUGUAUAACAGAUCAUAAAACUAUAGGACUGUGCUGUAGAAGAAGCCACCAUAAGGCUGCACUGCUCCUCACGUUCCUAUCCUGUAAGUGCAGGUCGUUAAGUCUGAGCAGUGCACCUAGGGUGAAGGUCUGAACAGUUGCUAACCAGGUAGGUCACUAAAUAAGGAACAGCUGUAUUUAUAUUUUCUAUUCUUGUUGAGUAUUUUCAUCCCAGAAAAUUUCAUAAAACCUGUUUUCCAGUAGGUAAGAAGUUUAUUUGGAGUUAUUUUUUCACUAUGUCUUGUCUCUUUUUUUGAAGCACAACUCUAAAGGUAAAGAAACUUCGUAUCACUAGGAAGCUUGGGGUGAAUGGACACUGCUUAGGUCUGAGAGACCUGUGUUCAAAUCUGGUAUCUACCCAUCUCAAUUUAUUCCUUGAUAUAGUUGAUUGGAUCUCUGAGGUCUUUUAUUUUUCUUGAAAGUUUUAACUUUCUGAUGAUCUAGAGUUGCUGACCUUUCAACAUAAACAUGAAGGUCUUCUUAAGGUAUAAGAGAAGUAUUUUUAGUUAUUUGAAAAUGAGUAAGAGAAAGCCUUUGAAUAUUUGGGCCUUUCUUGCAAAUUAGAGAGAUUUCCCAUUUUAUCUGCCCUUACUUCUGUUAUCCGUAAUUGGAUUUACUGGAUUUAACAGGAACAAAGAAAUAUUUAUGAACUGGUUCAUCUCUGUUUCUUUCUCUGGAAAAGACAAGAAGAUCAUUAAGCUACACAUGACUUGUCACUCAAGGAGGAGAUGUGCUUUCCUCUCCAGAAGUUCAGGGUUAACUUGCCUUUCUAUCAUUUGUAAUCUCCAGAUAUAUAUAGUCAGUAAGUCUGGGUAAACAGUGUGCAGGAUAUUCAGGGUUUGAUAUGGAAAUUGAGACAGUCCAAAAUGCUUAGAUCUAAUGAAUCAGAAACUUAAAUUCCAGUACCAGAGAUGGGUCUUUCUGUCCCCUUCAGUUGGAUAAAAGUUUUCUAAAUAUUAUCCUUAAGUCAGAUAGAAAGUAUAAUAAGUUUCUAGGACUUAGAAUCCUGCCAUUUUGGUUUGAAUUAAAUUAAGAAUGGGGUAAAGGAAAUUAAAAGUCUGAAUUUAAUUUCUAUAGGAAACAGUUCUUAUUUUCAGAGCAAAAUUGGACUCAAUGGGAAAAAAGUAAGCAUGUAUCUUUCUGUUGAUUUAUAAAUUACUGAAACUUGAAUGAAAGGCCAGUUGAUAGAAAACGACUAACUGAAGAUAAAAUUCCAACUUCAGCAAAUUUUGAAUCUCAUAUACGAAUUGAUCAAAUUUCUGAGUAGGAGGCUAUUCUGAGGGAAGCAAAACCAAGCAAAUUCUUACAAAAUAAUAGGUAAAUCAUGGCCAAGAGAGUGAGUGCUACUGGGAAUAAAAAACAAAACAAAAGCCCAUUAAAAUGUGAAACCUCAAAAAAGCAAACCACAUUAGAAAAGAAAAAUGUUCCCAAGCCACAAAUAGGGUGUUCAAGAGAAACAUCUCAGAAGCCCAGUGACGACUGCACAUUUUUCAGUUAAAUAUGAAGAUUAUCACCCGUGUGGUGGUUAGACUAUUCUUACAAGUAGUUUCUCAGUGCCUAAAACUGUCACUUUGAUGUAACAGCUAACAAAAUUAAUAUUUAAAGAAAGGUCUGGUUUUCAAUAGUAAGAAUAAAUAUUUGAUAUAAAGUAAUUUGGCACCUUCACUUUUUUAUUAAUUUUAUUGGUACAUUUUAGGUAUACAAUAUAGUGACAUUCAUCAUUGGAAAUCUGCACCUUCACAUAAUCUCUCUAGGUUCUUAUUUUUCCCC
ensembl:lncRNA